rnacentral:sRNA from 1 species
GUGAAUGUUUCUGGGGUUUGUACAGUUUAAAGCUUUUGUGCGGAUUGAUUGUGAUUCAGGAUAGGGACAGCUGUCAUUCAGUCGUCUCUAUGCUGCCCCACCAAUGUGUGUCAAAUCUGACCUGAAGGCAAUCCCUCUGGCAGUGAAAGGGAAUGCAGUCUCCAUGGCCUAUUCCAUCCUUGGCCUCU